rnacentral:rRNA from 1 species
GGUUUUGCAGUGGGUACGGGCUAACUAGAGUGCAGUAGGGGAGACUGGAAUUCCUGGUGUAGCGGUGGAAUGCGCAGAUAUCAGGAGGAACACCGAUGGCGAAGGCAGGUCUCUGGGCUGUAACUGACGCUGAGAAGCGAAAGCAUGGGGAGCGAACAGGAUUAGAUACCCUGGUAGUCCAUGCCGUAAACGUUGGGCACUAGGUGUGGGGGACAUUCCACGUUUUCCGCGCCGUAGCUAACGCAUUAAGUGCCCCGCCUGGAGAGUACGGCCGCAAGGCUAAAACUCAAAGAAAUUGACGGGGGCCCGCACAAGCGGCGGAGCAUGCGGAUUAAUUCGAUGCAACGCGAAGAACCUUACCAAGGCUUGACAUAUACUGGACUGCGUCAGAGAUGGCGUUUCCCUUCGGGGCUGGUAUACAGGUGGUGCAUGGUUGUCGUCAGCUCGUGUCGUGAGAUGUUGGGUUAAGUCCCGCAACGAGCGCAACCCUCGUUCUAUGUUGCCAGCACGUGAUGGUGGGGACUCAUAGGAGACUGCCGGGGUCAACUCGGAGGAAGGUGGGGAUGACGUCAAAUCAUCAUGCCCCUUAUGUCUUGGGCUUCACGCAUGCUACAAUGGCCGGUACAGAGGGUUGCGAUACUGUGAGGUGGAGCUAAUCCCUAAAAGCCGGUCUCAGUUCGGAUUGGGGUCUGCAACUCGACCCCAUGAAGUCGGAGUCGCUAGUAAUCGCAGAUCAGCAACGCUGCGGUGAAUACGUUCCCGGGCCUUGUACACACCGCCCGUCAAGUCACGAAAGUUGGUAAUACCCGAAGCNGGUGGCCUAACCCUGGUGGGG